rnacentral:rRNA from 1 species
UUGUGGUUAAAAAGCUCGUAGUUGGAUCUCGGCGGACUGAGGGCGGUUUGCUUGCUAGUAUUACUGCCCUAUAGUCCGUAGUUUUGCCAGAGGUUUCGGGGUGCUCUUAAUCGAGUGUCCCGGGAUGCUGGCAGGUUUACUUUGAAAAAAUUAGAGUGCUCAAAGCAGGCUAUUACGCCUGAAUAUUCGUGCAUGGAAUAAUAGAAUAGGAAGUCGUUUCUAUUUUGUUGGUUUUCGGAAAUCGACUUAAUGAUUAAUAGGGACAGUCGGGGGCAUUUGUAUUCAAACGACAGAGGUGAAAUUCUUGGACCGUUUGAAGACAAACUACUGCGAAAGCAUUUGCCAAGAAUGUUCUCAUUAAUCAAGGACGAAAGUUAAAGGUUCGAAGGCGAUUAGAUACCGCCCUAGUUUUAACCAUAAACGAUGCCAGCUAGCGAUCUGCGGACGUUUUUUUUGUAGACUCCGCAGGAAGCUUCCGGGAAACCAAGGCAUUUGGGUUCCAGGGGAAGUAUGGUUGCAAAGCUGAAACUUAAAGGAAUUGACGGAAGGGCACCACCAGGAGUGGAGCCUGUGGCUUAAUUUGACUCAACACGGGAAAUCUCACCAGGCCCGGACACUGGAAGGAUUGACAGAUUGAUAGCUCUUUCUUGAU